AUUGAACGCUGGCGGCAUGCUUUACACAUGCAAGUCGAACGGCAGCGCGGGCUUCGGCCUGGCGGCGAGUGGCGAACGGGUGAGUAAUGCAUCGGAACGUGCCCAGUAGUGGGGGAUAGCCCGGCGAAAGCCGGAUUAAUACCGCAUCCGACCUGAGGGUGAAAGCGGGGGACCGAAAGGCCUCGCGCUAUUGGAGCGGCCGAUGUCGGAUUAGCUAGUUGGUGGGGUAAAGGCUUACCAAGGCGACGAUCCGUAGCUGGUCUGAGAGGACGACCAGCCACACUGGGACUGAGACACGGCCCAGACGCCUACGGGAGGCAGCAGUGGGGAAUUUUGGACAAUGGGGGCAACCCUGAUCCAGCCAUGCCGCGUGCGGGAAGAAGGCCUUCGGGUUGUAAACCGCUUUUGUUCGGGAAGAAAUCCUCUGGGCUAAUACCCCGGGGGGAUGACGGUACCGGAAGAAUAAGCACCGGCUAACUACGUG
rnacentral:rRNA from 1 species